AACAGAGCAUGCCAUUGGUG
rnacentral:miRNA from 1 species